AUGAACGCUGGCGGCGUGCCUAAUACCUGCAAGUCGAGCGAACGGACGAGAAGCUUGCUUCUCUGAUGUUAGCGGCGGACGGGUGAGUAACACGUGGAUAACCUACCUAUAAGACUGGGAUAACUUCGGGAAACCGGAGCUAAUACCGGAUAAUAUUAUGAACCGCAUGGUUCAAAAGUGAAAGACGGUCUUGCUGUCACUUAUAGAUGGAUCCGCGCUGCAUUAGCUAGUUGGUAAGGUAACGGCUUACCAAGGCAACGAUGCAUAGCCGACCUGAGAGGGUGAUCGGCCACACUGGAACUGAGACACGGUCCAGACUCCUACGGGAGGCAGCAGUAGGGAAUCUUCCGCAAUGGGCGAAAGCCUGACGGAGCAACGCCGCGUGAGUGAUGAAGGUCUUCGGAUCGUAAAACUCUGUUAUUAGGGAAGAACAUAUGUGUAAGUAACUGUGCACAUCUUGACGGUACCUAAUCAGAAAGCCACGGCUAACUACGUG
rnacentral:rRNA from 1 species